AUCUUAACAUUAGGGACCACAGCAGGAGUAUUCAAGCUGCAGCCCCUGUCAGAUUUCUCAAAUCUUUGAAUCCUGCU
rnacentral:ribozyme from 1 species